CAAGCUCAGUUGGUUAGAGUGUGGUGCUGAUAAUGCCAAGGUUGCAGUUUCAAUCCCUGCAUUGAAGA